rnacentral:rRNA from 1 species
GACAGAGGAUGCAAGCGUUAUCCGGAAUGAUUGGGCGUAAAGCGUCUGUAGGUGGCUUUUCAAGUCCGCCGUCAAAUCCCAGGGCUCAACCCCGGACUUGCAGUGGGUACGGGCAGACUAGAGUGUGGUAGGGGAGACUGGAAUUCCUGGUGUAGCGGUGAAAUGCGCAGAUAUCAGGAGGAACACCGAUGGCGAAGGCAGGUCUCUGGGCCACUACUGACGCUGAGAAGCGAAAGCAUGGGGAGCGAACAGG